GUGCCAGCAGCCGCGGUAAUACGUAGGGUGCAAGCGUUAAUCGGAAUUACUGGGCGUAAAGCGUGCGCAGGCGGUUAUAUAAGACAGAUGUGAAAUCCCCGGGCUCAACCUGGGGAACUGCAUUUGUGACUGUAUAGCUAGAGUACGGCAGAGGGGGAUGGAAUUCCGCGUGUAGCAGUGAAAUGCGUAGAUAUGCGGAGGAACACCGAUGGCGAAGGCAAUCCCCUGGGCCUGUACUGACGCUCAUGCACGAAAGCGUGGGGGAGCAAACAGGAUUAGAUACCCUGGUAGUCC
rnacentral:rRNA from 1 species